UGUUUUGCAGUUUUACUUACAGGCCGUGUCUAUAGGUUCCAACCAAACCAAUACGCUACAAGGGUUACGGAAAACGGCUAAAGAAUGAAAAAUAUUGCUUUCGUAUUCGCUGUAGUUGUUGCACUUGCGCUGGCGGAAAAAGUGACUUCUCUUCAUAUGCAUGUUCUUGCCAAAACACCAACACCCGUUUCUCGUCCUGGCCGACGUGAAUAUAAGAUGGCGGGUAAGACGCUUGACUUUUGCAGUACAGCUAAAUUAUACUGUGAAAAUGAAGAGCAGUUGAACUGGAAAUCAAAGAAUAAUUACAUGAAAGAACAUGUUGUCUGAAACCGCUACCGCCUGAUACAGACCUCUACUGAUCAAAAGUGAUAUGGAUUUGAUUAUUUGUCCUUGGCAAUACUCCCACUUCGAGUUCGCCUUUGCUCAGUCUUAGCCUCGAUUGAGUACAAUUGUCUUUUUUUCUUUCAUUAUGGUCCAUUGUAUUGUAAGGAAUGUACGCACUACGGAACAAUAUGAGUUGAUUAAAAUGCCACGGGUUUUGGUUGAAAAGGCGAAUAUUAUAACGCACAACUGAGACUAAGGCUGACCAAAGAGAGCUCGAAACUGGAGUAUUCCGCAAAUGCUCAAUAUAUGUACUUAAAAGCGAAUAAAGAAACCACAAUUUCUUAAUGUC